CCAUGAGUAGAGUGGCAAACGGGUGAGUAACACGUGGGUGACCUGCCUUCGAGCGGGGGAUAACGUCCCGAAAGGGACGCUAAUACCGCAUAACAUCCUGCCUUUUAAGAGGUGGAGAUCAAAGCCGGGGAUCGCAAGACCUGGCACUUGAAGAGGGGCCCGCGCCUGAUUAGCUAGUUGGUGGGGUAAUGGCUCACCAAGGCAACGAUCAGUAUCCGGCCUGAGAGGGCGGACGGACACACUGGGACUGAGACACGGCCCAGACUCCUACGGGAGGCAGCAGUGGGGAAUUGUUCGCAAUGGGCGCAAGCCUGACGACGCAACGCCGCGUGGAGGAUGAAGACCUUCGGGUCGUAAACUCCUUUCGAUCGAGACGAAUGGUUUCCGGGUGAACAAUCCGGAG
rnacentral:rRNA from 1 species